rnacentral:lncRNA from 1 species
UCCAAACCACCAAAAAAACCAUCAUUCCAUACCCAAAAAUCAUCAUAACCAUGUAUAAUUAAUUAACUUUACAAAAGACGGAACACAAAAAUACAAAUGGGCAGAAAAUAGAGAAACAACAUGUUGCAUAAGAAACAACCUAUUUUGAUAUUCAAAUUAGCUUCCUUUAAAGGGCAUAGAGAAGUACAGAAGUGCCAAAUUUGCAAACACCCUUGCUUUAUUUUUGUGUAUAUAGUAAUGAAGUCUUGCCUAUAAUUUUCCAUCAUACUCUACGCUUAUUUCUAAAGUUUCAAGCUUCAGUGGGCACCCAAAACACUAAGCGUCACUAUUUGGGCUCAUAAUACAGUUUUUGAAAUCAUAAGCAGAAAAUGGUCUGCGAACCAAAUCCAUUCACUCAUUUACAAAUUAGUCAAAAAGCCACAAAUGUCAUGGAUAACAUCCUAAAAAAGGAAAAUCUGAGGAUUCAGCUAUCAAUUGUGAAAUCUAGCUAGUUGUAUGACAAUUUGAGUUACAUUUGCAAAUAAUCUCAAACCCCGAGUAAUGAAAACACAAAAUUUAACUUUCAAUUUCAAUUUCUUCUCAUUCCCAGCUUAGUCGAAUACCAACGAAACUUAAUAGAAACACUAACUUCUAAUCAUAAGUUUAUAAGAACCAACUUCUGAUCACAAGUGUUUGAUAUUAACAGACCUAACUAAAUCUAAAAAUUUGAAACUAGAUAUUAGAAAAACCAUCCUAAAUCACAAAAGUACACACAGCUAUUGUAAUUUAAUCAAAAUCUCUAACAAUACCAGUUUAAAAACUGCCCAUAUGAAAU